rnacentral:rRNA from 1 species
AAGCGCUUGCAACCAGACUUGCACGCGGUUGAUCAUCCGGUGUUCUCACCGGUGCACUCGACCGUGUUCAGGCCAGCAUCGGUUCAGGUGGUGGGAUAAAGGCCUUGGGAAUGUAGCUUCUUUCGGGGAGUGUUAUAGCCUAUUGUAUAAUACCCUUAUGGGGACCGAGGUACGCGCUCUGCAAGGAUGCUGGCGUAAU